rnacentral:rRNA from 1 species
GACGAACGCUGGCGGCGUGCUUAACACAUGCAAGUCGAGCGGAAAGGCCCUGCGGGGUACUCGAGCGGCGAACGGGUGAGUAACACGUGAGUAACCUUCCCCAGACUUUGGGAUAACCCUCGGAAACGGGGGCUAAUACCGGAUACGACACAGCUUCGCAUGGGGUCUGUGUGGAAAGUUUUUCGGUUUGGGAUGGGCUCGCGGCCUAUCAGCUUGUUGGUGGGGUGGUGGCCUACCAAGGCGACGACGGGUAGCCGGCCUGAGAGGGCGACCGGCCACACUGGGACUGAGACACGGCCCAGACUCCUACGGGAGGCAGCAGUGGGGAAUAUUGCACAAUGGGCGGAAGCCUGAUGCAGCGACGCCGCGUGAGGGAUGACGGCCUUCGGGUUGUAAACCUCUUUCAGCAGGGACGAAGCGUAAGUGACGGUACCUGCAGAAGAAGCGCCGGCCAACUACGUG